GGAAUUUUCCGCAAUGGGCGAAAGCCUGACGGAGCAACGCCGCGUGAGGGAUGAAGGCCUCUGGGCUGCAAACCUCUUUUAUCAAGGAAGAAGAUCUGACGGUACUUGAUGAAUAAGCCACGGCUAAUUCCGUGCCAGCAGCCGCGGUAAUACGGGAGUGGCAAGCGUUAUCCGGAAUUAUUGGGCGUAAAGCGUCCGCAGGCGGUCUUGUAAGUCUGUCGUUAAAGCGUGGAGCUUAACUCCAUUUGAGCGAUGGAAACUGCAAGACUAGAGUGUGGUAGGGGCAGAGGGAAUUCCCGGUGUAGCGGUGAAAUGCGUAGAUAUCGGGAAGAACACCAGUGGCGAAGGCGCUCUGCUGGGCCAUAACUGACGCUCAUGGACGAAAGCCAGGGGAGCGAAAGGGAUUAGAUACCCCAGUAGUC
rnacentral:rRNA from 1 species